GAUGAACGCUGGCGGCGUGCCUAAUACAUGCAAGUCGAGCGCGAGAGUGAGGAGCUUGCUCCUCAUGAUCGAGCGGCGGACGGGUGAGUAACACGUAGGCAACCUACCCUUGAGAUUGGGAUAACUACCGGAAACGGUAGCUAAUACCGGAUACGACUUUUCCACAUAAGUGGAAUGGUUAAAAGGCGGAUUUAUCUGCCGCUCAUGGAUGGGCCUGCGGUGCAUUAGCUAGUUGGUGAGGUAGUGGCUCACCAAGGCGACGAUGCAUAGCCGACCUGAGAGGGUGAUCGGCCACACUGGGACUGAGACACGGCCCAGACUCCUACGGGAGGCAGCAGUAGGGAAUCUUCCGCAAUGGACGAAAGUCUGACGGAGCAACGCCGCGUGAGUGAUGAAGGGUUUCGGCUCGUAAAACUCUGUUGUUAAGGAAGAACACUUGAGGUAGUAACUGGCCUUGAGAUGACGGUACUUAACCAGAAAGCCACGGCUAACUACGUGCCAGCAGCCGCAGUAA
rnacentral:rRNA from 1 species